rnacentral:rRNA from 2 species
GUUUAGACCGUCGUGAGACAGGUUAGUUUUACCCUACUGACGACCAUAGAAGAAAUGUUAUUGCGAUAGUAAUCCUGCGAAGUACGAGAGGAACCGCAGGUUCGGACAGUUGGUUGGCGCACUUGGUCGAGCGGCCAGUGGUGCGAGGCUACGUCCGGAUGAUUAUACCUGAAGGCCUCUGAAGGUAGAAUCGAUGCUGGAGGAAGGCAAUGAUACGCAGCGUCUUUUGACUCGUUUCGACGUUUUAUCUGGGUGGCUAUAACGAGACCCGUCUCGGUUAGAGAUUAAAACUCGCUCCAUCAGCGAGGGGGUUCCGGCCUUUUCGUUUCGUUUCGGACGAAUGCCUGGUCGGCGCUUCAUUCUCGAGCCGCGGUUUUCAGAGGGGAGGUUCGCUGACGGCUAUGCUGGGUAUCCUCUACGGGAAUGCCAGUCAUGCUCCGGUUCGCCUCUUUCUUUUUACCCGACUAAAG